rnacentral:misc_RNA from 1 species
AAGCACAGCCACCCAUCACACACCCACAAGCCACACUCGUCAUCUUCUCUUCGACCCACUCAAUCCUCUUCCAUUUGUUGCACUGACACGCACGCUAUUACGGCUACCCGUGCCAACGCCGGCGAGAGAACAACGAAAGAGGGCGCAAGCGUGCGCAUACAUCUCUCCGUUCUCUUUUUGGUACUCCCCCGCUCUGCACGUUUGUUCACGAGCGCGUCAGCAUGUCUUCCAGAGUAGCUGGGUCGUACAAGAAGGCGCACACGCUGGAGGCGCGCCUGCGCGAUGCGGAAAAGGUCCGUGAGCGUGCUCCCGAUCGCAUUCUCGUGAUUUGCGAGAAGGCAGAAAACUCACCCGUUCCUGAUCUGGACAAGAGCAAGUUCUUGGUACCGCCGGACGCGACCGUUGGCGGCUUUCUCGUGAGCAUCCGUCGUCGCAUCACCAUGGAGGCCGAGAAGGCGCUCUUUCUCUUUGUGGGUGACAGCGUCCCGGCAAACAGCACUCUCAUGAGCGACCUCUUCAAUCGCUACAAGGAUGAGGACGGGUUCUUGUACGUGACGUACUCUGGUGAGAACACGUACGGCUGGCAGGGGCUGCACUAGAGGUCGGGAUUGUGCGUCGCACACCCCCACCCCCAGUUUCCCACGAGACACAUUUGUUGCUGCACAUGCGUGCGCGUUCGCGUGUGUAUCUGCCGUCGCCCGUGAAGGCGGAGACCCGUUGCCGCCGCUGCCCCUCUUGCUCUGGCUCCCUUUGCUUUUCUCCCUUCCCGCGCGCGCGUUUUCUUUCCCCUACACACACCUCCACCUACAGUGUGGCAUGAAUUUCUGCUUUCGUUUUUCCUUCGCUUUCUUGCGUUUGAAAUAUCCCGCACCUCCGUCAGAGAUGAACAGCGCCCACGUGCAUGACACACACCACGACAUACAUACGCCGAUGUCUCUCCCUCUCCCUCUCUUCCUGCUCGCUGCUUGUUUUGUUUGCCCACUUCUCUUGUUUAGCUCGUUGUAUGUGCGUUUUGCUUUCUUUUCUCGCUUCAUCUCUGUGUAUGUGUGUGUGCUGUGCAUAUGAUGGCGGCAUCUCGGCUUGCGUGCCCGCACGAAUGCUUCCCUUGUCACGGUAUUCAGGUUGCAUAGGAGAAGGGGGGGGGACUACAUCGACUCUUCCGCUGUAGUGGGGGUAUUACGGACGUGAGUUGUAUGCCCUUUGGCAUUUUCGCGGCGACUUGUUUUUCUACGUAGAUGUUUGCGGCGAACGCGACCUUUAUGAAAUAGAGAGUGCUGACGAAUCCGAGCACAGACUCGCGCACACCCACAAGGUCAUGCGUCGAUCGGCACCGGCGGCACUGCCGCCGCAACGGUGGAAAAGCCGGUGGCUCCGUAAGAGGGACAGGAGAAGGAGUAGUGCUGGAUAAGGCGAGUGCAAACCCUGCGACCCCAUCUUGUUCCAUCACCGAGUCUCGCGCACGUCUCCUCAAUCUUUUUUUUUUCUCUUGCUCUCUCUGCGUCGAUAGCGCUCUUUGCCUCUGUGCGCCACUUCGCCCCUCUCGCCGUGUGCCCAUCGGCACAUCUUAUCAUGUCUCUCUCCCUCGCUCGCUUGCCAUCUCUUUUUCUGUGCUGCCACUUUUCUUUUUCACUCCGCGUGCCUGGGCGAGGAUUCUGAGGUGAACGAAAUCACGUAAG